rnacentral:rRNA from 1 species
AUUAAACGCUGGCGGCAUGCCUUACACAUGCAAGUCGAACGGCAGCACGGGUGCUUGCACCUGGUGGCGAGUGGCGAACGGGUGAGUAAUACAUCGGAACGUACCUUAUCGUGGGGGAUAACGCAGCGAAAGCUGUGCUAAUACCGCAUACGCCAUGAGGGGGAAAGCGGGGGAUCGAAAGACCUCGCGCGAUUAGAGCGGCCGAUGCCUGAUUAGCUUGUUGGAGGGGUAAAAGCACACCAAGGCGACGAUCAGUAGCUGGUCUGAGAGGACGAUGAGCCAGGCUGGGGCGGAGACAGGACCCAGAGUCCUACGGGAGGCAGCAGUGAGGAAUUGUGGACAAUGGGGGCAACGCUGAUCCAGCAAGGCCGCGUGAGGGAAAAAGGCCUUCGGGUUGUAAAGCUCUUUUGUCAGGGAAAAAACACCGGCUCUAACACUGUCCGGGAAUGACGGUACCGGAAGAAUAAGCACCGGCUAACUACGUGCCAGCCGCCGCCGUAA